rnacentral:rRNA from 1 species
GAUGAACGCUGGCGGCGUGCCUAAUACAUGCAAGUCGAGCGAACGGACGAGAAGCUUGCUUCUCUGAUGUUAGCGGCGGACGGGUGAGUAACGCGUGGGUAACCUACCUAUAAGACUGGGAUAACUUCGGGAAACCGGAGCUAAUACCGGAUAAUAUUUUGAACCGCAUGGUUCAAAAGUGAAAGACGGUCUUGCUGUCACUUAUAGAUGGAUCCGCGCUGCAUUAGCUAGUUGGUAAGGUAACGGCUUACCAAGGCAACGAUGCAUAGCCGACCUGAGAGGGUGAUCGGCCACACUGGAACUGAGACACGGUCCAGACUCCUACGGGAGGCAGCAGUAGGGAAUCUUCCGCAAUGGGCGAAAGCCUGACGGAGCAACGCCGCGUGAGUGAUGAAGGUCUUCGGAUCGUAAAACUCUGUUAUUAGGGAAGAACAUAUGUGUAAGUAACUGCGCACAUCUUGACGGUACCUAAUCAGAAAGCCACGGCUAACUACGUG